CAGCAGCCGCGGGAAUACGGAGGGUGCAAGCGUUAAUCGGAAUUACUGGGCGUAAAGCGCACGCAGGCGGUUUGUUAAGUCAGAUGUGAAAUCCCCGAGCUUAACUUGGGAACUGCAUUUGAAACUGGCAAGCUAGAGUCUUGUAGAGGGGGGUGGAAUUCCAGGUGUAGCGGUGAAAUGCGUAGAGAUCUGGAGGAAUACCGGUGGCGAAGGCGGCCCCCUGGACAAAGACUGACGCUCAGGUGCGAAAGCGUGGGGAGCAAACAGGAUUAGAUACCCGCGUAGUCCCUGUCUCUUAUAC
rnacentral:rRNA from 1 species